GCCAAACCAGGCCCCUCACACAUUUAGAUCUGGCCCACGUAUCAAGUUAGAUUCACAAUAAAUUUUGGCCCGCCUAGUUGGGCGCAAACCAAAAACACAGGAAAGUGUUUUUUAAACUGCAAGUACGUGACAUUCAAAGCAGAAUUUGGCAGAUUUGCCAACUUUGAGACUCAUAAAUUCCCACAGAAGCAGCGAGUUUUCAUUUUGAGGCUGUGAAA